UGACGCCUACGGGGGGCAGCAGUGAGGAAUAUUGGUCAAUGGUCGGGAGACUGAACCAGCCAAGCCGCGUGAGGGAUGAAGGUACAGAGUAUCGUAAACCUCUUUUGUCAGGGAACAAAGGCGGGGACGUGUCCCCGGAUGAGUGUAACUGAAGAAAAAGCAUCGGUUAACUCCGUGCCAGCAGCCGCGGGAAUACGGAGGAUGCGAGCGUUAUCCGGAUUUAUUGGGUUUAAAGGGUGCGCAGGCGGUCUGUUAAGUCAGCGGUCAAAGCCCGAGG
rnacentral:rRNA from 1 species